UACGGAGGGUGCAAGCGUUGUCCGGAAUCACUGGGCGUAAAGGGCGCGUAGGCGGCCCGGUAAGUCGGGGGUGAAAUCCUGCGGCUUAACCGCAGGGCUGCCUUCUAAACUGUCGGGCUCGAGCACGGUAGAGGCAGAUGGAAUUCCCGGUGUAGCGGUGGAAUGCGUAGAGAUCGGGAAGAACAUCAGUGGCGAAGGCGGUCUGCUGGGACGUUGCUGACGCUGAGGCGCGACAGCGUGGGGAGCAAACAGG
rnacentral:rRNA from 1 species